GGGCCUGUAGCUCAUUUGGUAGAGCGCUACAUUCGCAUUGUAGAGGCAAGGGGUUCGAUUCCCCUCAGGUCCACAA
rnacentral:tRNA from 1 species